UGAACAGAAAAAUUAAUCCUGGAGACUUCAAAACAAAACCCAGUGACUUCACCCAAAACUGUUUGUGCAUGGAAAAAUUUCUGAUAACCACUAUCACACACGGAGUAACACACGGGCAUGUCCACUGACUUUGACUUUUGGGACGUGGCAGAGGAGGAGGAAAUGCGAGUACCAGAUCAAAAGAACAGCCGAUGGCAAAAAAGAAAUUUUCAGGUUGUCAGUGUGGCUCACUGUGAAUCCUAAACCAUGUGAUGCACCUGGCUGUGCUGGCUUUACUGAAAGAUUCAUGGACAGUUAUCAUAGCGGUAUGAUGUUUCCAGGCAAACACACAUAUUGCAGAGCAUUUCCUAGGCAAACUAAUGACUGCUUACCUGGAGCUAGACUGAGCUAUUAGGCAGGCACAUAACUGCAUCGCCCCAGGAAGUAUACAAGGAAGGAAUUGGACCCGAGAGCAGCAUAGUUUGUCUUGCCUCUC